ACUAAACUCAAAACCUUCCUUUUUUUUUUAGGAUUUCUUUUGUAAACACUAUAAAUCAGGCUUGUGAACAUCUUAAUCUCAUAAGAGAACCCCCAUAGAUGUGUUAAAAAGGAGAGAAAGAGCAAGAGUUAGGAUUUUAGGUUUUCAAGGAGUUAAAGUAAGAGAUGAUGAAAUUAUCAUGAUAUACAUGUUUAUUUUCAUAAUCUAACAUAGAAGAGUUAUUUGAUUUUAGUUUUAACUUAUAAGUAUUAUAUGUUUUAUAUGAAAUUGAAGAAAAAAGGAAGAAGUGAGAGAAUAAAAUUGAAUGAAAAGGAAAGGAGAAGGCUAAGGAGUGAAGGAAGAAAGAAACACAUCAUCUCAACCCUUUUGUUGUACAGUUAGACUUGAAGAAGUAAAGUCGAGCUAGGAGAUCUCUCAUCUCAUCACAUCUCCAAGAGCUACAAGAGUAGGUACUAUAUUUUGAGUUAAAAUGGCUUGUACAUAGGUAGACUAAAUGUGUUUCCAAGUGUUAGGGACUAAAAUGCAAACUCUUAAAACUUUAUCUAUUUUAGUAUUUUAAAUUGAAAUAUUUUGGUUCUAUAUGAAAUGAAUUAUUGAUAGUUAUAUAUAUGCUUGUAAUUGUGGUUUGAUAAUGAGAUAAUUUGGUUGAA